rnacentral:rRNA from 1 species
AUGUUCAGGCUAGCGCUACAGGCUGUCGCGUUUCUCAACGAGGAGAAGAUUGCCGGCAAAGUGGACUACUUGAAGAAUACAUUCAGGUGGUCUGAUGCCCAAGUGCGCAUUGCUGUGUGUGGCGCUCCGUUUGUGCUGAGGAAGUCCAAGGAAUCUCUGAAGCGUAGGUCUGAGUUCCUAUUCUCUGAAGUGGGACUGGAACCCGUUUACGUUGCUCAUCGACCGAUAAUUCUCUGUCUUAGCCUGGAUGGACGGGUCAGGCCCAGGUACUAUGUUCUGAAGUUCCUCAAGGAAAAUGGAUUGGUAGAUCGCAAGCUGAGCUUCCAUACUGCAGUCAUGAUGACUGAGAAGGUAUUUGUGGAGAAGCUCAUAUGUCCUCACAAGGAAGCCGCACCACACCUCGCUGAAGAUUAUGCAGCAGCUUGCAAAGGGGAAGUACCAACUAAUUUCAGAUUUACAUGA